rnacentral:tRNA from 1 species
AGCAGAGUGGCUCAAUGGAAAGAGCAUGGGCUUGGGAUUUAGAGGUCAUGGGUUUGAAUCCCUUGUCAGCUG